AUAACACCAGUUCCCGUGCGAUCACCGAAGUUAAGCAAUGUCGAGCUUGGUCAGUAACAAGAUGGGUGAUUGCUUGGAAAUAUCAGGUGCUGUAAG